rnacentral:lncRNA from 1 species
UUGAAUAUUCGCAACGUAAUCCAACAACUAUAUAUUCACUAUAUACCAAUUUUUUUUAUACAUCAUUGCCUUUAUAUUAAUCUACUUUACAAAGUAAUUGUAAAGUUACAUCUCGCAUUCAAAACGAGUACUUCUAUUCAACAUUUAUUUGUUGAACGUUUCAAAGUUUGUACAACUCAAUCAAAUUACAUUACAACAAGUAGCAUCGACUUGGUUACAAACUAAACUUAAUAAAGAAAUACACCUUUUCUAAUCAUGUCGCACUUCGAACCUUCGUUACUAUAAUCCUUUGAUAAAUCAACUUUCAUCUGCAAAUUUUAUAUUUUGCAAGGUUGAGCACAACGGCCCAACAAGUCUAACAGUUUCCAUGAUUCACGUUUCAUACAUACUAUGUAUUUUAGUCAUGCAUCAUGUUACUCAUACUAUGCAUUUUAUACAUGCAUCAUAAACCUUAUGUUAUGCGUCUACAUAUACUUCAUACAUUUCAUGGUAUAUAUUUUUAUAUGCAUCAUAUUUUUCAUAAUGUAUAUUUACAAACUUUCAAGUUCUACACAGAACAGUAUAACCACAGAGUUGCAUAACGUACACACUUUAAUCAUGCUCGUAGGCAAAUCACAUAACACUGAAUAUUGACACAUAAUGGAGCAAUCAAAUCAUGUACAUCAACAUAUUCCAAACAAGUCAACAAGUUACUGAAAGAACUUGCCUUAAGCGUUUCUUGCAAAGUUACGAUAACUCAUCCUUCUAAUAUCCUACACAAUUUAAUUAACGAUAAGAUACAAAUUAGCCACGAAAAGACUUCAUAUAUUGGUUUACGUAUGUUACUUUAUUCCUCAUUUUAUGUUGCUCGCAAUUUAUAAUUUAAAUAACGUGACCAAACUUCAAAAAAUGUUUCUUGGCGUCGCGGCGUUCGGAAACAACAUGACCCACUUAACACCCCCUUAUGAUAUUUUACUUUCAUCAUUUUUCAUUUUAUAAUGUUUUUCUUCUAUAACUUGAUUUCCAGCUUUGGCGUUAUCACAACCCUACUUUAACACUUCAUAACUUGUUCGCAGAAACUCAGAAUGAGUCCAUUCCUGAGGCUAUGGCUUGCUAGGAUUAUGGUCUACAAAACCCCAUAAAAUCAUAAUUUUUCAGCAAAUCUAACUAGCCAAAACAGUGUCCCAAAAGUCCCCUCCCGCACUGAUUUUCAGUUUUGAUGCACCUACUUUGGAACGUCAUCACACGCUCGUCCGAACUCAGAAUGAGUCCGUUCUGGAGGCUAUGGAUUCCUUAAUCAGUGUACUAUAUACCCCUAAAAAAUUAGAGUUUUCUAGGAACUCAAACUAGCCCCGAAAUUGUCCUUAAAGUCAGCAGUCCACUAGUUUUCAGUUUUCAACAUGUUUUACUAAAAGAUUCACCAUAAAUUUGUUUUAGCUUCUUUUUACUUCAUUCUAAUUGGGUUAUUUUCGUAACUUAUAGGAGUACCACACAUCAUCUCGAAACUUAUUUUUCAUUUUUAGAGCACUACAAAAAUUGGGUCCAAAACAGUUCAUUUUUCCAUCAUUUAGCAUAGGUUUCGUUUUCAUUUAUUUUUGUUCACUUUGCAUGCUAUUACCGUGUAGUUUAACAUGUUUACAACAUUCGUAAUCCUCCAGAUCCUUUAUGAUCUUCAUCAACAAUAACAACCACAACAACCCCUUUCAACCAAGCAAAAUAAAAGCUUGAAAAUUAGAUGAAGAUUGAAAGCUAGGGUUUUAAGUCUUACCUCUUGAGUUCUUCCUUGCUUAGCUAGGUGAGGAUUAAGGCUUGCUUUUGUUCCUCUUCCUCUUGGCAAAUUUGAAUUCCUCGCUCAAUAUUUAGCUCGCAAGCUUUUUUUUCUCUUCCUUUUUUGUUACUUAGAAUAAUUAGAUGAUUUGAAGUAAACAAAGAAUGAAUGGAAGAUGGAUGGUGGCUUAGCCUUACUAGCUUGCUUCUCCUCUUCUCUACCCCAUCUCUAGUAGCUCUCUCUAGGUUCAACUCUUUUCUUACUUAGCAAAGAAAUAAACAAGGCUAGGAAUGAAUGAUAAGAGAAGGGAAUAAUUGAGGUCAAGAAAUAAUUGGGAAGAGAUCAGUUGUUGGGAAUGUUUGUUUGCUUGGGAGAUUAAAUCCCCACACUUGGUCUCCUUUUCUCUCUCCCUUGUCCCCAACCGUAGCCCCCUCCCAUUUCC